rnacentral:rRNA from 1 species
UACGAACCGUCCAAACGUUAUUCGGAAUCACUGGGCUUAAAGGGUGCGCAGGCUGUUUUUUAAGUAGGAUGUGAAAUCCCUCAGCUUAACUGAGGAACUGCAUCCUAUACUGGGAGGCUAGAGUAAGAUAGAGGUGAACGGAACCGAUGGUGGAGCGGUGAAAUGCGUUGAUAUUAUCGGGAACACCAGUAGCGAAAGCGGUUCACUGGGUCUUAACUGACGCUCAUGCACGAAAGCCAGGGUAGCGAACGGG